GGCCACUCGGGAUGGGUCCCUGGACCCCGCUGGCAGAAUGGAAUUUUCGGAGCUGAUCCUGGUCGGAACAGAAGCUCCUCUGGGGGUCCGGAGGCGCCCCAGCUGUGCUGCACACUAAUUGUCACUGGCUCCCACCCGUGUUGCCAGGGCCCCAGUCAACUCAGGUCCUGUGGCUGCUGCUGCUGCGUAGGGUCAACUCCAUCGAGAAGCCGUGAGAGAUGUGACUGGGGCGUCCCUGGAGUGAGGGAGCAAGCGACUCCAGCGAGGAGAGGGGGAAGGGACAGAGCAGUUGGCGCCCUCCUGCCUGACGUCCAGUCGUGGAACUCUUCCGGUCCCCUGAUGGGGCCCAGGACACUGAGCUCUCGCCCACCUGUCCAUCCCCAGCGUCUCGGGCGCCUUAGGCAACCAUCAAACUGCACUGUAAAAACCCCAGGUGCUUAGGGGCCGAGGAUUUAGUUCAGUGGUUUCGCCGCCUGCUGCGCAAUCGCAAGGACCCCAGUUCGAUCCCCGGUACCAAAAACCAAACCAAAACAAAAAAAGACCCCAGGUGCUGCAGCUGAAUAUAGAGGGCGAGAAAGCGACGCUGGACAUCGCUGGCACCAUCAAGAACAACGCAUGGCGGCUGAGCGAGGUGAACCAGGACUUCAGCGCACCCCAGUUACACUCGUGCUGUGAUCGCGAUUUACUCAGUAGACCACGACGCCCUGGCGCUUCCUUCCGCCAGGGAGGCCGUUUCCCAGCGUCCAGCAGAACCCUGAGCCCACCCCCUCCCUAGGAGACCUUCAAGACUCUAUUACCCGGCCAGACCAAUUCACCUCGCCUUUGCUCCAACACCUGCUCCACUCUCGCUCCGGCCUCUGGGCAAUCCAACCACCGUUGGCCCAAUCACUCUCCCCCUCUCCUCGCCUGUCAGUCUCAACCUUGCUCCGCCCAGCCGCUGGCUCCUGGAAGCUUAAUCACUUCUUUGUCCAUCCUGAGACUGAACUUGAGUCCUUGAGUCCCUCCCACACUCUGCUGGAAGCCUCUGGAGUUCCAUCCUUAAGGUCCCUGCCAGCUCUGCCAGCUCUGCCAGCUCCG
rnacentral:lncRNA from 1 species